rnacentral:rRNA from 1 species
CCUACGGGAGGCAGCAGUGAGGAAUAUUGGUCAAUGGGCGUAAGCCUGAACCAGCCAAGUCGCGUGAGGGAUGAAGGUUCUAUGGAUCGUAAACCUCUUUUAUAAGGGAAUAAAGUGUGGGACGUGUCCUGUUUUGUAUGUACCUUAUGAAUAAGGAUCGGCUAACUCCGUGCCAGCAGCCGCGGUAAUACGGAGGACCCGAGCGUUAUCCGGAUUUAUUGGGUUUAAAGGGUGUGUAGGCGGCCUUUUAAGUCAGCGGUGAAAGUCUGUGGCUCAACCAUAGAAUUGCCGUUGAAACUGGAAGGCUUGAGUGUGUUAGAGGCAGGGGGAAUGCGUGGUGUAGCGGUGAAAUGCUUAGAGAUCAGGCGGAACCCCGGUGGCGAAGGCGGCCUGCGAAGCCAUGACUGACGUUGAUGCUCGAAAGCGUGGGGAUCAAACAGGAUUAGAUACCUUUGUAGUC